rnacentral:rRNA from 1 species
AACGAACGCUGGCGGCGUGCUUAACACAUGCAAGUCGAACGAAGUGGCGGACGGGUGAGUAACGCGUAAUCAACCUGCCCUUCAGAGGGGGACACCAGUUGGAAACGUCUGCUAAUACCGCAUAAUGAAGGAGGGGAUUGCGUGUGAUUAGCUAGGUGGAGGGGUAACGGCCCAACAAGGCGAUGAUCAGUAGGCUGUGUGAGGGGAUGAACGGCCACAUUGGGGCUGAAACACGGCCCAGACUCCUACGGGAGGACGCAGGGGGGAAAUUUCCGCAAUGGACGAAAGUCUGACGGAGCAACGCCGCGUGAGUGAUUACGGCCUUCGGGUUGUAAAGCUCUGUUAAUCGGGACGCGGUACCGGAAUAGAAAGCCACGGCUAACUACGUGCCAGCAGCCGCGGUAAUAC